AACCCGAAAACAACCAAACUUUCAUAUAUUCUUGGAGUUUUAGAAGGAGAAACCGGUAAUGUCUUUGUCUCAACCCAGGUCAUAUUCUAUGUUUUUGGCUAUGAUUUGUUCGAAAAAGAAGAAAACUGAGUGAAUAUCAAAACAGAGAGAAAGAGAGAUAGAGAGAGAGAGACAGCUGAGAAUUGAGAAGGAAUUAAAGAAAGGUACAUCAAUGAGUUGAAUCAGCCAGAAGUAGGAACAGAUCUUCAGCUGCUCGAAACUUAGGGUCUUGAUGCUUGAUUUCAAUUCUGCGUCCUUCAUAAGUGAGUCCAACUUGGAAACAGUAUAGUCUCUUCAGAACAUUUUUGCUGUAUCAGAAGACCUUUAAUCAGAGUAGUCUAUGUAAAAUCAAAGGAAAAAGAACAGACUUUUGAUUUGGGAAGUAUACUACCGUGAUUAGGAAAUGAGUUUUGAAGGUACAUGUGCUCACAUGAUGUUACUUGUCCGAAGGAAAGUAGGAGUAACCACACAACACAAGAACCACAGAACCUAAAGUGAAAAUCAACAAAUCACCAACAGGAUCAACACGCAAGCCACUGAAGUAAAUAGAGAAUCAGGGAAGAGGUUUUCUUGUAUGGUUCGAUCGCUCCGCGCCGUUAGUUUCUCAACACGAGUUUCUUUUAUAGUAACGAAGUUACGAAGAUAUAUUAUAUCAAACCCACCAAAUAACAUUGACAUAAAGCAUAUAGAAAAUGAUGACACGGUUUUACACA